rnacentral:rRNA from 1 species
CAGCAGCCACGGGAAUACGGAGGGUGCAAGCGUUAAUCGGAAUUACUGGGCGUAAAGCGCACGCAGGCGGUCUGUCAAGUCGGAUGUGAAAUCCCCGGGCUCAACCUGGGAACUGCAUUCGAAACUGGCAGGCUAGAGUCUUGUAGAGGGGGGUAGAAUUCCAGGUGUAGCGGUGAAAUGCGUAGAGAUCUGGAGGAAUACCGGUGGCGAAGGCGGCCCCCUGGACAAAGACUGACGCUCAGGUGCGAAAGCGUGGGGAGCAAACAGGAUUAGAUACCCGUGUAGUCCCUGUCUCUUAUAC